CGCCGUUGUACUACUAAGGCUCUGCCUUGCGGUGGCCGCUGCCCGGCCCUCUUUUAAAGAGGGCGAGGGCACGGCCCAAACCAAUGGGCGUUUUGGUGAGACUGUCCAGCGUAGCAAGUCAAUCGCUGUACGGUGUUCACGGAAGCGCCAGUCAACGAACGUUUGGCCUCGGAUCAGGUAGGGAUACCCGCUGAACUUAA
rnacentral:misc_RNA from 1 species